rnacentral:rRNA from 1 species
UACGUAGGUGACAAGCGUUGUCCGGAUUUACUGGGCGUAAAGAGCGCGCAGGCGGUCGUUCAAGUCGAGUGUGAAAGCCCCCGGCUCAACUGGGGAGGGUCAUUCGAUACUGAUCGACUCGAAGGCAGGAGAGGGUAGUGGAAUUCCCGGUGUAGUGGUGAAAUUCGUAGAUAUCGGGAGGAACACCAGUGGCGAAGGCGGCGAUCUGGGAAGAUACUGACGCUGAGGUGCGAAAGCGUGGGGAGCAAACAGG